rnacentral:rRNA from 1 species
UACGAGAGGCGCAAACGUUAUUCGGAAUUACUGGGCUUAAAGAGUUCGUAGGCGGCGCAGAAAGUAGGGUGUGAAAGCCCUCGGCUCAACCGAGGAAUUGCGCUCUAAACUACUGUGCUUGAGGGACCUAGAGGUGAGCGGAACUGAUGGUGGAGCGGUGAAAUGCGUUGAUAUCAUCAGGAACACCGGAGGCGAAGGCGGCUCACUGGGGGUCUUCUGACGCUGAGGAACGAAAGCCAGGGGAGCAAACAGG